CCAAGUUGCCCAGGCUGGUCUUGAACUCCUGACAUCAAGUGAUACACUUGCCUCUGCCUCCCUAAGUGCUGGGAUUACAGGGGUGAGCCAUUGUGACUGGCCUAAAAAUAGUUUUUAAUAAACUCAGUGGACUUGUAGGUGAUUGAUGUGAGCCAGAUUACUGUGCUUCAGCUGACAUUUCUUGGUUUGAAGUGCGGUAAGUUAGAGCAACUGAGAUUUUCAUGAACAGAUUUCAUUUGUGUGUUUCAUCUGAACAUUGUCAUCCUCAUUUUGCUGAUACUUCCUCCUUUACCAAGGUCAGCAGGCCAUAACAGCUGGUACUGCCACAUUCUUGAUGGCCUAAUUAAAUACUUCACAUAAAAUGCAUAGACCAUCUGCUUAGGUCACGGAUAUAGUGACCCAAAUAAUAAACAAAAUAGCAUGUGUGUGCUUAACUGACCUAGAGAGAUGAACACACAUUUUCUACAUGGUAGAAAAGUGCUGGGCUUGGAUUGGUUUAAAAAUGCUCCUGCUUCUAACCUCCUGUUAAUAAGGUUGACCAUUUGCCGUUAAGGAUUAGCAAUUUUUUUGUGUGUAUCCAUAUUCUCAUCUGGUAUCUCUUGUUACCACUACCAUAUAUAAGGACGGAUAGACUUACUUAGAGGGGAAUUUUGAACUUGUAGGGAUGUGCAGAUUUAUUAAUUUGUAAGAAUUGUACUUGUCACAGUGGUGUCACCAUUUUCUGUCAAUAGCCAUGGAAACUUUAGUUUUAUUUAAAAGCAAAUAAUGUAGUUUGAAUGAAAAAGAUUUGCUGUAUAUGUUGAGAGAAAACCUUGAUAAUAUGAGGGCAAGAAGUUAUUGUCAGGAAAUGUUUUCAAAGAUGACUUGCUUUUCUGAGACUUCAUGGAUUUAAUGUUUCACAUGAUUCUUUGAUAAGAAACUUUUUUUUCGGUUGGGAGGUAGAAGAGAAUAGAAAGACCUGGUAAUUUCAUGACUUCAGCUAAGUAACUAAAACUUGGCAACCUUCAAUUUCAGUUCUAGUAAGAUAGGUUGUUAGUAUUCACCUCAUAAGGUUGUUUGGAGAAUCACAUAAUAUGUAUGAGAAGCAAAAUACUUACUGUAAUUCCUGGUUGGUUGUAAUUCCUGGUCGGUUAUUCCCGUCCCCUGCAUCUUCUCCCUUACAGUAGGUAUCUGUGUACGUUCUUUCUCAGCCUCUGUGCUGUUCUCCUCUACGAAGAGUAUCUCCAUAUUUGCUUUGUUUAACUUCUACCUUGGGAUAAAGGCUUGGUGUCAUUAUCAAUCAAGACCCCCUGGUGAGCAUGCACCCUACAAGCCAGCAAGUCAGGUGUGCUCUUCUGAAUUUUGUAUGUGACAAGAUACUGCAAAUCUGUCAAACAUUGUCCUGAAGGGAAGGACUAUCCAGUAAUUUCUGUUCAGAGCCCUGUAACUGCUCUCAUCCAUCACAGUAAAUACUUUUUUCAAAACAAAACAAAACUUAAGAUAACCUGGUUGGCUGUAUACCAAAGUUCCCUGUUUGGUACACUUAAUUGGAAAUAAUUCCACAAGCAGAUUCAUUCAUUUGUUUAAUCCAAGAAAUAUUUAGUGAAUCCCUUCUUCUUUAUACAUCCAAUGCUAGGUGCUGGAGUGCAUUCAUAGAAGAGAAAUAUCAGGUUUCCUGUUCUCAGCGUGUGCUCAGCUCAGUGACUUCACAGACCGCAUGUGAUCUUAACACAGUAGCAGAGGUGGAGCAUAGCCUGAGGCACAAUCCCAGAUUAAAUUUGGUGUUAGGUCUCGUGACAGUUAAUCUAACUCUAAAAACGUUAAUUAUGAACAUAAAGAUGGGAACAGUAGGUAUUGGGACCACUAGAUGGGGAUUGGGAGAUGGGGGCAAGGGCUGAAAAACUACCGAUUAGGCACUGUGCUCACUCCCCGGGUGAUGUGAUCCUUUCUACCCCAAACCUCAGCGUCACACAGUAUACCCAUGUAUGGAGCCUGUAUAUGAACCCCCUGAAUCUAAAAAAAAAAAAAAAAAAAAAAAAAAAAAAAAAAAAAAAAAAAAAAAAAAAAAAAAAAAAAAAAAAAAAAAAAAACCCUCUAAUGCCCAUUAGUUACUUAUAGUCUGCUGAAAGAAUAGCCAGUUGCUCUCAGCCUUUUCAUUUGUCUCAUUAAUUUCAUCUUUUUUAUUUACUCAGUAUGGUCAAGAAAAAUACUCUUAAUAGUUUAUAUUAAGAAGUAGGUGAUACUAUAACAUUCUAAGCUUUUGCUGAAAAUCGUGACCUUUGAUUAUUCAUACUGGUAAUUUAUUUCUCAUUUUUAUGUUGCAGUUACAACAUUCAAAGCAAUAGACUAAGAUCUAAUAAUUUAGAAGCACCAGAGGCAUUGUUGGGCCAGGAUGACAAGCCUUUAAUGACUAUCUUAGACGGUGAAAGCCACUGCAAUUGCUGUAUGAAUAUUCAUUUAAGAAGCAUUCAUUGGUGAAAGGCAGCCUAUUAUCACAGGCAGCCAACCACUGCAACAGCUGGUAUUGACAAAGGCUCUGAAUCCUUUCGGUUAAAAAUGAAGCAAAAAUCAGAGUUUUCAUAGAGCUUCCUAUCCUCCUGUUGAGCUAUAUGAAAGAACCCUUCACUCAUGAUAAUAAUCCAGGUAUGUGAUGUUAUAUUACAGUGACCUGUAGGGUAAUAACUUAGUAAGAGGCAUUCUUUGUCAACACAGGUAAAGUCUGAACCACAGAAGGUAAAAUUUAGAAGAAAGGUAAAUGGUUAUAUAUUAUUUCAGUGCGUGCGUGUGUGUGUGUGUGUUUGUGCAUUUGUGUGUUAUGUGUGUUCCUUCAGCAACAUGUCAUGUGGACUAGGAAUUUCUGGACCAUUUCUGGUUUUGGAGAAUAGGAUAUGAAUGUGCCUGUGAAACUGACAGAAUGAUGUAUUACCCUGUAGGUCACUGGAAUAGAAUCCAGAUGUACUUAAGCAUUUAUGAAAAUUUACCUAUUGUCACAGAGGCCCCGUGCCACGUGAGUUCUGUGAGACUUUAAAGGAAAUCUAACCAAAAUUGAACUCUGUUUCAUGUGUAGCCUUUUUUGUGGUUUGAUAAUGACAUUAUACCCAUUAAAAUAUUUUUUGCCUUCAUUAUUAAAACUAUUAGGUUAUUUAGUGACUUCACAGUCACAGAAGUCCUUUAUAUUCUCUGGGCAAGCAGAACCUCAGUAGCAUAAACUUAGUUUUGUCACUGCCCCGGGGAUCAUACUUCAUAGGGGUCAGUUAUGUCAUAUGUGCAAAAAUGUGAUGUCUUUUUUGAUCCAAACCUUUGCCACCCAUUCAAGAGAGGUUUGGAUGUAUUAAGAGUUUUUGAAAGACUGGAGCUCUCAGUAGGCCAAGUGUAGUAUAGAAACUUGCAGUGGUGAAAACUUGGCUGCAGGUACAAUAGAGCACGUGUAUACAGAUUCUAGUUAAGAGCUUUAGUGUGAAAGAAUUAAUCUUCAUUGUACCAGAGG